rnacentral:rRNA from 1 species
AGAGUUUGAUCCUGGCUCAGAGUGAACGCUGGCGGCGUGCCUAACACAUGCAAGUCGAACGAGAACGGGUUAAAGUUUACUUUAACUGUCAGCUAAGUGGCGCACGGGUGAGUAAUAUAUAGUUAAUCUGCCCCAAAGAAGAGAAUAAUUGUUGGAAACGACUUGUAACUCUCUAUAUGCCUUUAUCACAAAAGUGAGCAAGGGAAACAUUUAUGGCUUUGGGAUGAGACUGUACGGUAUCAGUUAGUUGGUAAGGUAAUGGCUUACCAAGACUAUGACGCCUAACUGGUUUGAGAGGAUGAUCAGUCACACUGGAACUGAGACACGGUCCAGACUCCUACGGGAGGCAGCAGUGGGGAAUAUUGCACAAUGGAGGAAACUCUGAUGCAGCAACGCCGCGUGGAGGAUGACACAUUUCGGUGCGUAAACUCCUUUUAUAUGAGAAGAUAAUGACGGUAUCAUAUGAAUAAGCACCGGCUAACUCCGUGCCAGCAGCCGCGGUAAUACGGGGGGUGCAAGCGUUACUCGGAAUCACUGGGCGUAAAGAGCAUGUAGGCGGAUAGAUAAGUUGGAAGUGAAAUCCUAUGGCUUAACCAUAGAACUGCUUCCAAAACUGUCUAUCUAGAAUAUGGGAGAGGUAGAUGGAAUUUCCGGUGUAGGGGUAAAAUCCGUAGAGAUCAGAAAGGAAUACCGAUUGCGAAGGCGAUCUACUGGAAACAUUAUUGACGCUCAGAUGCGAAAGCGUGGGGAGCAAACAGGAUUAGAUACCCUGGUAGUCCACGCCCUAAACGAUGCACACUAGUUGUUGCCUUGCUAGACAAGGCAGUAAUGCAGUUAACACAGUAAGUGUGCCGCCUGGGGAGUACGGUCGCAAGAUUAAAACUCAAAGGAAUAGACGGGGACCCGCACAAGCGGUGGAGCAUGUGGUUUAAUUCGACGAUACGCGAAGAACCUUACCUGGCCUUGACAUAGAGAGAACUUACUAGAGAUAGUUUGGUGCUAGCUUGCUAGAACUUUCAUACAGGUGCUGCACGGCUGUCGUCAGCUCGUGUCGUGAGAUGUUGGGUUAAGUCCCGCAACGAGCGCAACCCUCGUGUUUAGUUACUAACAGUUCGGCUGAGGACUCUAGACAGACUGCCUACGCAAGUAGGAGGAAGGUGAGGACGACGUCAAGUCAUCAUGGCCCUUACGGCCAGGGCUACACACGUGCUACAAUGGGGUAUACAAAGAGCCGCAAUACCGUGAGGUGGAGCAAAUCUCAUAAAAUGCCUCCCAGUUCGGAUUGUAGUCUGCAACUCGACUACAUGAAGUUGGAAUCGCUAGUAAUCGUAGAUCAGCUAUGCUACGGUGAAUACGUUCCCGGGUCUUGUACUCACCGCCCGUCACACCAUGGGAGUUGAUUUCAUUCGAAGCGGGGAUGCUAAAAUAGCUACCUUCCACAGUGGAAUUAGCGACUAGGGUGAAGUCGUAACAAGGUAACCGUA